rnacentral:tRNA from 2 species
GGGCCUGUGGCUCAGCCAGGCAGAGCGGCUGGCUCUUAACCAGUAAGUCGUGGGUUCAAAUCCCACCAGGCCCGCCA